AUUGAACGCUGGCGGCAGGCUUAACACAUGCAAGUCGAACGAGUGGCGGACGGGUGAGUAAUGUCUGGGAAACUGCAUGAUGGAGGGGGAUAACUACUGGAAACGGUAGCUAAUACCGCAUACCAUCAGAUGUGCCCAGAUGGGAUGAGCUCGUUGGUGGGGUAACGGCUCACCAAGGCGAGGAUCCCUAGCUGGUCUGAGAGGAUGACCAGCCACACUGGAACUGAGACACGGUCGAGACUCCUACGGGAGGCAGCAGUGGGGAAUAUUGCACAAUGGGCGCAAGCCUGAUGCAGCAAUGCCGCGUGUAUGAAGAAGGCGUUAGGGUUGUAAAGUACUUUCGGCGGGAAGGCGUUACCCGCAGAAGAAGCACCGGCUAACUCCGUGCCAGCAGCCGCGGUAAUAC
rnacentral:rRNA from 1 species